GAUGAACGCUGGCGGCGUGCCUAACACAUGCAAGUCGAGCGAACCCUUCGGGGUGAGCGGCGGACGGGUGAGUAACGCGUGGGUAACCUGCCCUGUACACACGGAUAACAUACCGAAAGGUAUGCUAAUACGAGAUAAUAUAUUUUAAUCGCAUGGUUAAGAUAUCAAAGCUCCGGCGGUACAGGAUGGACCCGCGUCUGAUUAGCUAGUUGGUGAGGUAAUGCUCACCAAGGCGACGAUCAGUAGCCGACCUGAGAGGGUGAUCGGCCACACUGGAACUGAGACACGGUCCAGACUCCUACGGGAGGCAGCAGUGGGAAUAUUGCACAAUGGGCGAAAGCCUGAUGCAGCAACGCCGCGAGAGCGAUGAAGGCCUUCGGGUCGUAAAGCUCUGUCCUCAAGGAAGAUAAUGACGGUACUUGAGGAGGAAGCCCCGGCUAACUACGUGCCAGCCGCCGCAGUAA
rnacentral:rRNA from 1 species